GCAUUUACUCAAAGGUCUCCAAGUAAUUCCCGUCAACGUCGCGUGUAGUUUGUCCAACCCUCUGUGAGCCGUAAACGCACCACGGAGCUAUCAACUUGUGUGACGUCAGCGCACAGCCCCGGAACCAAGUAUAAAACCGCGCAACUCUUGGCUGUUCGAAGACAAAGUGUGGAGCGCGAGAGCCCCGCCUCCCUGAGAGCACGUGCAACAGAUGCUGACUUGGAGCCAGAGAAUCAACAUAAUCUAACAUCAGAGUCAUCACUGAUAGGACACCGGCGCUGUGCACGUUGCUGACCUUCAGCUUUGGGUUUUCCGAGGACGUGCAUGAUCUCAGCGUUCGUAGGGUUCUGGCCUAAAGCCCUGAUGAGGUCACCGCACUGGGCCUUUGACUCCGCGAGGCAACAAACGACAACUGUAAAAACAGCCCCCUUACCCUCGAUUUGCUCCGGGGUGAAUUCCAGCUGAAAAGAGAGGAUGCAAACAAGGAGGUUAGUUGCUGCAUCGUUUCGGGAGGACUAGAGCCUUACAAGUCGAGUAACAUCAGAGGAAUUCUAUUUAAAAACCACAUAAUGAAGGUGUGAGUGCGGCUGCCGUGACUUUGCCCCCACCUUCCUCUCAUCAUUCCAUAAGAUUGUGUUACAGCCUGCAUUGUUUAUCAGUGACCUUGGGUCUAACACCCCCUUAUUAUAGUCAAAUACUACCAGCUACUGGUGGAUUAAGCGUAUUUUUAGAUCUAAUGUGUAGAAAGAAGCUUUGUUGCUGUAGACACCAGGAAGGUCACAGUAUUCACAGCCUAAUGAUUUUCUCCGCUCUAUAGUUACAUCAAGACUUUACCAGCUCCUACUGUACAUUUUUAUAUUUGAUGCGUUGAUCCAAGUCUGAAAAUAAGUGGUUGUUCUCACUACUCAUGGCAAAUGUUGACUAUUUAUAAUCCAUGUACUGUAUGUUUUGGACUGCGAUCAAAUGGCAUCUUCAGUUUCUGUCUCCGAACCGCAGCCUCUGCAUGAAGCUUUGUCAAAUAUUAUCCAAACACUUAUCUGAGCGUGUUUAAAGACGGAUGGCGAUGGAUAUAAUUAUCUGUAUUUUUCUUUCUCCUGGUUUUUCCACCCAUUUUGCCCUCAGAGGAAUGGUGUGGGUGGUCUGCUCAUACUCAGACAUAAUGAAAAUCAUAUUUUGUGGCUUUAACCGUGCUCCAUUGUGACCGAAGGGCUCGUCCAACCCUCGAGAAAACAUUUCUCCGCCGAGAGGAGGCCGAGUCAGCAGAAGAUCUUUCCAUGAUGUCUGGUAUCAGCUACUGUAGUCUGCCUGAGCCCCAGUAAGAAGUCACAGCUCCUUCAACUGCAGUGAUGCAAAAUGUGAUGAAAGGCUGGAAAUAUUAUUCGAUGGAAGACAGAGAGAAAGAUAUGAAUGUAGAGUGCAGGACAGGAUAAUCCUCCUCUGCUUGCACUGCCCAGUUUAGGACACUUGGGGUCUCUGAUGCUCUUUAAACACAGUGUUAGUUGGUUACCACUGCACCGUUUAGUGAAAUCAAAUUUGUAUUAUUUCCUUUUAAUAGACUGUAUUUAAUUAUUAUACAGCUCUACGUUGUCAGUUCAAUCCCCAGGGAGAUUAAUAAUUUGUUGUUAGAAGUUUAACACAACCAGUCUUGAUUGAAAUGCUUUAAAGUCUGCCGCUGCGUGUUCUUUACC